GCAGCUUCCGGGGACAGGUGAGAGACGUGACCGGAAGUUCGGGACCCGAGGCCGCGGGCGGCGCCUUCGCACCGGAGGCUGGCGUUCCAUGGAGGGGCAUCUUCUGGACGAAUCCAAUGUGAUCUCCUACAUGAAUAUUGAAUACUGACUGAAGACGCCAUCUGCCUUAGAUGAUGCAUUUCUUCAGAGGUUCCAAAUUGUGAGAAACCAUCCUAUAGCCCUCCCUCCUGUUGUUGCUGUGGCCUCCAGUGCGCCCGCGGGAGCUGUUGGCGCAUGGGACGAACAGGCUGUAGUGCACAUGCGGGGCCUGCCGGCUGAAGAUGACUGUGCGUGGAAUGGAUGCUGGAAGGGGCAGGUGGAGCCCGGAGCCUCAUCACCAGCCCAGGCAUCUUCUGGACGAAUCCAAUGUGAUCUCCUACAUGAAUAUUGAAUACUGACUGAAGACGCCAUCUGCCUUAGAUGAUGCAUUUCUUCAGAGGUUCCAAAUUGUGAGAAACCAUCCUAUAGUGUUGGAAAAAAGCAGUACUGGUCGUCCUACAGUAACUCCCAUGACAUCUGAUGAUGAUGACGCUGCGGAAGCAGGUCCAUCAAAAGAAGUCUGGAGCAGCAGAAGUGGGACUUCUGUAACACACCAUCAAAAAAAACAUGUGGCAGCAAAGAAAGCAAGGUCUGAUGUCCAGGGCCAACCACAGCAGGCUACCCCGCCAUGAAGAUUAUUGACAGUAUGUUCGGUCCCCCCACUCCCAAUUUUGGACACACCUCCAAGACGUGAACCACACUCCCCUCAUCUUGAUUUCCUGGUAACAGCAUCCCUCCGCAACAACAGCAAACAAGCAGCAGUUCUGGUAUGACUACUCCAAAUAUCACGCCAGUGUCAUCACCACCAAGACGCUCCACCAGAGCACACCAACAUGACAGUGGUAAAGGCAAAGGGCAGGACAAGCAGCCACCCAAAAAAAAUGAACAAAUAAACCUCACAUUUUUUAUUUCAGAGAAGUAAAUCAAAAUACUUAGUAAUUAUAUGUUUGUCAAAAUAGAUAUAACACUUAGCUCCUUGACAAUUUGUACAACAUCAUUAAUUAUAAGUGGUACAAACAACAUAAAAUUUGUACGUACAUUUAUUCUUUACCAUCUUUGAAUUUUUUUGGAGGAGGGAAAUGUUUGACCUGCACAUAGAUGUUAGCAGGAAGUAACCAGACCACUUGAUUUUUUUCUAAUCAUUACUCUUUCUAGAUUCCAAUCAAUCUCAUAUCCUGCAGACACAAUAAUUGGCAGCCAGGCAGAAUGUCUUUAGCAUGCAGUAACCAGACCACUUGAUUUUUUUCUAAUCAUUACUCUUUCUAGAUUCCAAUCAAUCUUAUAUUCUGCAGCCAAUACAAAUUACAAUGUGAUUGUUAACUAUUUUACCUUUCUUCUCUAUACAACAUUACAAGAAUAACACAAUUGAGUUGGCUAAAAAGGUUUUAAUAUGUUGUGAUUGAAUUUAGAUAAUUCAGUGCCAAAAUUAAUGUCAUUAUUGUUGGGCCAUGUUUGUGUGUGUUAAAAAUGAGUAAUCAGUUUCUUACACAUGAUGCAGAAACAAAGAAAUUUGACUUUUUACAAAAAAAAUAAUAAUGUGUAUAAUAAUGUAUAUAUGUGGCAAACUGUAUUUACUUACAAAUCAGCAAGUUUACUGCAACA